AAGCGAGAGCGCCAAUGUAGGAGAGCGCCAUUUGGCCUUGAACUUGCGGACGUUAUACAACAAAUCUCAGGUGGAAGCAGCAGUUUAAACAUCAAUGUCAAUUCCCAUUAACUGCAUACAAUAACCCGAUGUACAAAUGCGUAAUAUAAGUGAUCCACGCGAGUUUUCUAGGACUAUUUUCGAGUAUUCACCGGAAGCUCGCUGAACAGUGGCCAUAGAUCUUUCUUUCGGAGGGAAUCACUGCUGGGACAGUUGGCUCCCGUAUAAACUCAAUCUUUUGUACCUGUUGUGUCGGCAAACUGAUGAAUGCGAGCUCCCCGAAGAAGUUACCUGAGGACAAUUUAUACGGAACACACAAUUAUAUAAAAUUAUAUACACACCUAUAUACAAGUAGAAUUUGCCGUUUUAACAAGCCGUCCACUUAAAAAACAAGCAUAAAGGAUUAUAUAUAGACAACCUAUAUAAAUAUGCACCACGUCUGCCACGUCAGGAAGAGCCACAGCAAUCCGCAGGGCAGCAACUAACGGAGUUCUCCCGCCAGCUGCCGGAAAUCCAGUAGCAAAUCCAGCAAAACUAGCGACCAAGCCAGC
rnacentral:sRNA from 1 species